GAGCCUGCGAGUUAGUGGCAUGUGGCGAGGUUAACCCGUGUGGGGUAGCCGUAGCGAAAGCGAGUCCGAAUAGGGCGGUCCAGUCGCAUGUUCUAGACCCGAAGCGGAGUGAUCUACCCAUGGCCAGGGUGAAGCGACGGUAAGACGUCGUGGAGGCCCGAACCCACUUAGGUUGAAAACUGAGGGGAUGAGCUGUGGGUAGGGGUGAAAGGCCAAUCAAACUCCGUGAUAGCUGGUUCUCCCCGAAAUGCAUUUAGGUGCAGCGUCACGUGUUUCACGCCGGAGGUAGAGCUACUGGAUGGCCUAGGGGGCCCACAAGCUUACCGAAGUCAGCCAAACUCCGAAUGCCGGUGUGUGAGAGCGUGGCAGUGAGACUGCGGGGGAUAAGCUUCGUAGUCGAGAGGGAAACAGCCCAGAUCGCCGGCUAAGGCCCCUAAGCGUGUACUAAGUGGAAAAGGAUGUGGGGUUGCGAAGACAGCCAGGAGGUUGGCUUAGAAGCAGCCAUCCUUGAAAGAGUGCGUAAUAGCUCACUGGUCGAGUGAUCCUGCGCCGACAAUGUAGCGGGGCUCAAGUACACCGCCGAAGCCGCGGCACUCACACAAGACAUCGGCACAUUCCUGCGGGGGUGUGUCCAGUGGUGUGGGUGGGUAGGGGAGCGUCGUGUGUCCUGGGAAGCAGCGGGGUGACCUAGUUGUGGAGGGCAUGCGAGUGAGAAUGCAGGCAUGAGUAGCGAAAGACGAGUGAGAAACUCGUCCGCCGAAUGACCAAGGGUUCCUGGGCCAGGUUAAUCCGCCCAGGGUGAGUCGGGACCUAAGGCGAGGCCGACAGGCGUAGUCGAUGGACAACGGGUUGAUAUUCCCGUACCCGUGUAUCCGCGCCCAAUGGCGAAUCAGUGGUGCUAAGUGUCCUGAACCCGAGCGACCACCUUCGGGUGGCGUGAGGGGGAUGCACACGACCCCUGCUGUAGUAGUCAAGCGAUGGGGUGACGCAGGAAGGUAGCUGGGCCAGUCAGUGGUUGUACUGGUGUAAGCCUGUAGGGCGAGUGGUAGGCAAAUCCGCCACUCAUGUGCCUGAGAGGUGAUGCGUAGCCGAUUGAGGUGAAUUCAGUGAUCCUAUGCUGCCGAGAAAAGCCUCUAGUGAGUUGGUACACGGCCCGUACCCCAAACCGACACAGGUGGUCAGGUAGAGAAUACCGAGGCGAUCGAGAGAACUGUGGUUAAGGAACUCGGCAAAAUGCCCCCGUAACUUCGGGAGAAGGGGGACCAUGUCCGGUGAACGCCCUUGCGGUGGGAGCUGGGUGUGGUCGCAGAGACCAGAGAGAAGCGACUGUUUACUAAAAACACAGGUCCGUGCGAAGUCGUAAGACGAUGUAUACGGACUGACGCCUGCCCGGUGCCGGAAGGUUAAGAGGACCGGUUAGCGCCUUCGGGUGCGAAGCUGAGAAUUUAAGCCCCGGUAAACGGCGGUGGUAACUAUAACCAUCCUAAGGUAGCGAAAUUCCUUGUCGGGUAAGUUCCGACCUGCACGAAUGGCGUAACGACUUCUCUGCUGUCUCAACCACAGACUCGGCGAAAUUGCAUUACGAGUAAAGAUGCUCGUUACGCGCGGCAGGACGAAAAGACCCCGGGACCUUCACUAUAGCUUGGUAUUGGUGUUCGGUACGGUUUGUGUAGGAUAGGUGGGAGACUGUGAAAGCGGCACGCCAGUGUCGUGGGAGUCGUCGUUGAAAUACCACUCUGGUCGUAUUGGACCUCUAACCUCGGGCCAUGAUCUGGUUCAGGGACAGUGCCUGGUGGGUAGUUUAACUGGGGCGGUUGCCUCCCAAAAUGUAACGGAGGCGCCCAAAGGUUCCCUCAGCCUGGUUGGCAAUCAGGUGUCGAGUGCAAGUGCACAAGGGAGCUUGACUGUGAGACAGACAUGUCGAGCAGGGACGAAAGUCGGGACUAGUGAUCCGGCACCGGCAUGUGGAAGCGGUGUCGCUCAACGGAUAAAAGGUACCCCGGGGAUAACAGGCUGAUCUUCCCCAAGAGUCCAUAUCGACGGGAUGGUUUGGCACCUCGAUGUCGGCUCGUCGCAUCCUGGGGCUGGAGUAGGUCCCAAGGGUUGGGCUGUUCGCCCAUUAAAGCGGCACGCGAGCUGGGUUUAGAACGUCGUGAGACAGUUCGGUCUCUAUCCGCCGCGCGCGUUAGAAACUUGAGGAAGGCUGUCCCUAGUACGAGAGGACCGGGACGGACGAACCUCUGGUGUGCCAGUUGUCCCGCCAGGGGCACUGCUGGUUGGCUACGUUCGGAAGGGAUAACCGCUGAAAGCAUCUAAGCGGGAAGCCUGUUCCAAGAUGAGGUUUCUCACCCCCUUCGAGGGGUUAAGGCCCCCCACAGACCAUGGGGUUGAUAGGCCGGAACUGGAAGCACGGUAACGUGUGGAGGUGACCGGUACUAAUAGGCCGAGGGCUUACCAACAA
rnacentral:rRNA from 1 species